rnacentral:lncRNA from 1 species
UUUUUUAUUUUCGACCUAUUAUUUAUUAUUUUAUUCAAAACAGAUCGGAACAAGAGUGUUACGACUCCACCUCGCCGCAACCCCGAUGACGACCUAGAUCCGAGGAUGGAUGGCGGUGAGGAUGAGCGUGGAGCUGGCUUAGCUAGAUCUGAUACUCGGGAGAGAGAGAUCGAUGAGAAUCAGAGAGAAUUUGAAGAGAAGAGAUCCAGAUCUGAGGGAAAAGAGGGAUUGAGGAAGAAGNGAGUUAUUGGGAUUAACAAGGUUAACCGGUAAGAUUGGGUAAAAACCAAAGUAAAACUAUAGAAAGAGCAUGCAUGCAUAAUCAUUCUUUAUUUGAUUAUAUAUCUUCUGACAGCUUUCUUGCAGGCAUAGUAUUAGCAUUAGUAUGGUUACUAUUUCUCUUUCUUGAAAUACUUAUGCCUAAAUAGACCUAGUGGGAAAGUCGGCGAGGUCGAUUGCCGAACCCACUGAAAACUUCGUUGUAGUUCUCACACCACUAACCCUACAGAUCCGAGCGCGAGCGGGGCGGCGGAGGAUCGAGGUGUUACGACUCCACCUCGCCGCAACCCCGAUGACGACCUAGAUCCGAGGAUGGAUGGCGGUGAGGAAGAGCGUGGAGCUGGCUUAGCUAGAUCUGAUACUCGGGAGAGAGAGAUCGAUGAGAAUCAGAGAGAAUUUGAAAAGAAGAGAUCCAGAUCUGAGGGAAAGAGGGGUUGAGGAAGGAGAAGAGGAAGAGGAAGAAGAGUAGAUUAGAAUUUGAAUUGAGAGAGUACUGUUCCAUUCCUACCCUUACAAUCGAAUGCCUCAGCUACUUAUAGCUACUGCUAAGGCUAAAAUUGUAAUUACAUUCAUAUGCAAAAAAUACUAAUAAGCAAGUAUGGUAUUAAGUGGGCCUUGUUGGAUCCACCUCCCUACUGGUCCGGUCGACUCCACUCAGAUAGCUGGAUCUGGUGUACUCCAAGGUCUGAUCAAACCGGUUCAGGUAUGGAUACUACAACCGCACCUUUAUUGUCCUCUUCUACUUCCACCUCUAUCCUGCGACAACGCCCUAGGCCAUUCUCCCUGUGCUUCCUCCCCAUUCCUCCCACACUUGUAUUACAAUCCCUCCUCCAACCAAACGAUCCUUGUCCUCAAGGAUCAAAGUGAGGAAAUUGCUCCUUGAGGGACCCGUAGUCCUCCCAAGUUGCCAGGGUGCUCGGUAGGGUACUCCAGGUUACCAAAACUUGCGCCUUGGACUUGUUCCCCUUUCUCACUAUCCUCUUCUCCAAGAUUUUCUCAGGUGUGGUACACAGUGUUUCUUCGUCCUGGCCGGGCGGUGCUUCUGGCAGGGCCUGCUUCCCUAUCGGUGGGCUCCGUUUGAGUAGCGAAACGUGGAAGACAGGAUGUACCUUGGACCCUUCGGGCAGCCGCAACCGAUAAGCCAUUGCUCUUACGCGCUCCAGAAUUUUGUAAGGCCCAAAGUAGCGUGAAGCCAGCUUAAGGUUCCGGCGGGCCGCUACGGUUUGCUGUCGGUAGGGUUGAAGUUUUAAAAACACCCAGUCGCCAACUUUAUACUCUUUAUCCACCCUUUUUUGAUCUGCCAUUUGUUUCAUCCUGUUCUGCGCCUUGAGGAGGUUUUCCCGUAGGUCCUGAGUCACCCUCUCUCGUUCACAACCCCACUCCUUAAGUUCUUCUGUGAUACUCGAUUGUAGGUUGACCACUAAGUAGUUCGGGAGAGCUCGACCAUAGAGAGCCUGGAACGGGGUGGUUCCGAGGGCUGUAUGGAAAUUGGUAUUAUACCACCAUUCCGCAUGCGCAAUCCAUCUGUACCACUUUUGUGGUUGCUGAGAGCACAAACAUCGCAGAUAGGUUUCGACGCACCUGUUUAGUCGUUCGGUUUGUCCAUCGGUCUGAGGGUGGUAGGCUGAACUCAUCGCGAGCUUAGUUCCCAACAUCUUAAACAGUUCCCUCCAAAAUUCACUUGUGAAGAUCUUAUCUCGAUCUGAGAUGAUCUUGCUGGGAAGUCCAUGUAGCUUAUAUAUAUUAUUGAAGAAAGCCCGGGCCACCGUUUGGACAGUAUAAGGGUGUGCGAGAGGAAUAAAAUGCCCAUACUUAGAAAACCUAUCCACCACGACCAUUAUGGAGUUUUUACCUUCCGAUCGAGGAAGCCCUUCAAUGAAAUCCAUCCCUACCUCCUGCCAAGCUUGUUGAGGUACAGGCAGGGGUUGUAACAGCCCUGCAUAGGGUUGAUUAUCGAUCUUAUUCUGAAUGCAUGUGGUGCAAUUCCUCACCAUAUCCUCUACAUCCUUCUUGAGACCUGGCCAAUAGAAAGUCUCUUUAAUUCUUUUAUAUGUGGCUUGUUGCCCCGAGUGGCCCCCUAAUGCAGAAUCAUGCAUCUGUCUGAGUACUCGGUUCCUCAACUCUUCUCCCUUCCCAAUGUAUAACUUUCCUUUGUAGCGUAGUAAGCCCAGAUCAUAUGUGUAACCUGUUACAUCAGCCUUUUGCGUAGUCAGCUGUUCAAUAAGUCUUUGACAAUCCCCAUCCUCCAGGUAGCUCUUCGAAAUCUCAGUAACCCACUCUGGUACAGCUGCCGAAAUGGCCUUACUACUUCCUUCUUCAGAGCCUCGGCGAGAGAGAGCAUCAGCCGCUUUAUUCUGCUUUCCCUUCUUGUACUGUAUUACAUAGUCUAACCCAAGUAACUUCAACAUCCCUUUUUGUUGUAUGGCCGUAGUUAUUUUCUGCUCAAGCAAGUACUUAAGGCUCUCGUGGUCGGUGCGGAUAAUGAACUGCCUCGGGCUAAGAUAAUGCCUCCACUUCGACACCGCCAUCAAAAUUGCCAAGAAUUCCUUCUCGUAGGUAGAUAACCCCAAAUUUCUUUUACUUAUUGUCUUACUCAGGAAGGCAAUGGGUCGCCCUUCUUGGGUUAACACUGCUCCUACCCCUUGGUCGCAAGCAUCCACCUCGAUGACGAAGGUUUUAUCGUAAUUGGGCAUCGCCAGUACAGGAGCUUCGGUCAUCAAUCUUUUUAGUUUGUCGAAGGCUUCUUGUGCACUGGAACCCCAGUGGAACCCUGAUUUCUUAAGCAACUCUGUUAACGGUUUGCUAAUGGCCCCAUAGCCUUUGAUGAACUUUCGGUAAUAGCCUGUCAAUCCUAAAAAUCCCCUCAGUCCUUUUAGAGUGGUUGGUAUUGGCCAUUGCUGCAUUGCUUCAAUUUUACUUGGGUCAGUGGCAAUUCCUUGCUGAGUAAUUAUGUGGCCCAAAUACUCGACUCUCUCCUGACCAAAGAAGCAUUUUGUUCUUUUGGCAAAAAACUUGUUUUCUCUCAAGAUCCUCAGUACCAUCUCUAAGUGUCGAGCGUGAUCUACUAUUGUUUUGCUAUAAACCAGGAUGUCAUCAAAGAAUAUAAGAACAAAUUUCCGCAGUAAGGGUGCGAAUACCUCAUUCAUUGUUGCUUGAAAAGUUGCUGGCGCGUUUGUUAGCCCAAAAGGCAUCACCCGGAACUCAUAAUGGCCCAAAUGAGUCUUAAAAGCUGUCUUGGGAAUGUCUUCCGGCCACAUCCUGAUCUGAUGGUAUCCUGAGCGAAGGUCGAUCUUUGAAAAAUAUUUAGAGCCACCUAAUUCAUCAAGUAACUCUUCAAUUAUAGGUAUAGGGUAUUUAUCCUUUACAGUGAUGUUGUUGAGCUGCCUGUAAUCAACACAGAAUCGCCAACUUCCAUCUUUCUUCUUUACUAACAAUACUGGGGAAGCAUAUGGACUUCGGCUUGGCUGAAUAACCUCAGUGGCAAGCAUUUCUCUAAUCAACUUUUCCAUCUCGUUCUUCUGUUCGAAGGUGUAUCGAUAAGGCCGCACAUUGAUCGGUUGUGCCCCUGUUUGUAGCGGAAUCCGAUGGUCUUGUGGCCUUUCUGGCGGCAGACCUUGUGGCUCUCUGAAAACAUCCUGAAAUUCUUGCAAAACAGUCUGAAUUGACUGUGGAAUAACUUCAUGCUCCCCUUCGUUUACACUGGUGAGUUGAGCGAGGGCACAGCAACUUCCUUCUAAGUACUCCUGUCUCCAUUGUUUGGCCGUGAUGCUUCUGAUUGCUCCCUUAUCUGUCAAGCCUUUCAAUUCCACCUGCUUACCCUCUUUAGUGAUAGUAACCGUUUGGUUUUUAUAAUCGAAAGUCACGGGACCAUGCACCUUUAGCCAAUCGAUUCCCAAUAUCAUGCCCGACCCUUCCAACCUUAUCACUCGCAGGUCAGUCGCAUAUCCUUCUCCUUGCAUUUUCCACGCAAACCUUGGACACUUCAACUUACUAAGCACCUUCUGCCCGUUUGCCACUGUUACUGUCAAGGGUGUAGUCGUGGUGAUAGUCGCUUUGAUCUCUUUAGCAGUGUUUAUGUCGAUGAAACUGUGGGUACUUCCCGUAUCAACAAGUAUAAUGAAGGUCUUCCCUUUUGCUUCUCCUGGAAUCUUGAUAGUUUCUUGGGGAUUUUCAGCACUCAAUGCGUGCACCGACAAUCCGCAUUCUUCCACUUCCCUGAUUUCCUGUUCACUAUCCUCUGUCUCAUCUUCCAAGCAUUCUUCGUCGUAGAUCUCAUCAUAAAUCCCAGGGGUCUCGCUCGUAGCCUCCAUGAAGUGUAUGGUCUGUGUUUUGCACUGAUGCCCAAAUGAGUACUUAUCCCCGCAUUUGAAGCACAACCCUGCUGCUCGCCUUUGUUCAAUGAGUUGUUUAUUGACUGGAGAUCUCUCUGUGCUCUUCGUGGGUGCAGUCGAGCUGUUGCUUUUGGAAUUACUGCCAGAUACCACACUGCCUUGGUUUUUAAGCCAUAUCUUGUUCUUUUUCAUGACUGCCGCCAGAUUCUGCUCUUGUAAUCUAGCCAACUCGUAAGCUUGUGCGACAGACUUAGGCCUCAUCAUUUUGACUGCCGUUUUGAUUUCCUCUUUGAGUCCACUUAAGAAACUCGACAAAAAAUAUCCCUGAGCGAAUUGGGAGUCAGUAGUCAACAACCUGGAUCUUAAUUCCUCGAAUUGCUCUUGAUAUUCUUCCACCGUCCCUUGUUGUGACAACUUAUUGAAUUCCUCGACAACAUCGGUUAACCCGUUUGCAUCAAAUCGAUGACAAACCUCUUGCACAAAUAUUUCCCAAUUAACUACUCCUUUUUCUGCAAGAAACCCAUGGAACCAUAUGUCGACCUUCGGUUCUAAAUGCAUACAUGCUAAUUCCAGUUUCUGAUGCUCUCGAAUGCCAUAGAUAUCAAAAUAUUUCUCACAUUUCCGAACCCAGCUUCUGGGAUUGCUCCCGCUAAAUAUCGGAAACUCCAAUCGAGGAAAUGGCAAGGUAUGAUUAACUCUAUUGAAUAAGUGGCAUGAAUUCAUGUCCUCACGUGAUGCUAAAGCAGGUGGGGUUGGUAAUAUACCUUUCUCUUCUUGUGCCAAUGACCCUGUGGUUCCCUUGGACGAAGAUCCCAUCGACUGGUUGAUCAUGAUCUCCAUUAAUUGCUCGAUCUUCUUUGCCGUACUCGCGGAAUCUUUACGCAGUGCUUCAUAGAGGUUAUGCUCUUCCUCCUUCAUGAUGUCUAUCUUAUGACUCAGCUCUUCAAUUCUUUUGUUGUUCCCCGUGGAUAACUCUUGGAACUGCUGCUCAAGGGAAUGGAUCUUUUCAUCGAGCACCUUAAGCCUUGUGCCUUCCGCCAUUGUCUUACUGACAAACUUGAAUCGGUUACUUCUAUCGGACCCGAUGGUUGCCUGAGGAAAUGACCCAACAGUAAGAUCUUCCCCGAUGAUGAUACCCUGGCUCUUAUUCUCUAAUUCUCACAAUUACUGGUGAUUGACCUUGUAAUCCCGACUCCUCCCUGAGGUGGAAUCAGAUUGCGGCCAAUUUCCUCCCUGUGUUAGCUCGACAGAUCUUCGAUCUGGAACUAACGUGGGAUUCACCAAUUGCUCCCUGGGACCGAGACAGCUCUGAUACCAAAUUGCUACGGCUCCACCUCGCCGCAACCCCGAUGACGACCUAGAUCCGAGGAUGGAUGGCGGUGAGGAAGAGCGUGGAGCUGGCUUAGCUAGAUCUGAUACUCGGGAGAGAGAUUGAUGAGAAUCAGAGAGAAUUUGAAAAGAAGAGAUCCAGAUCUGAGGGAAAAGAGGGAUUGAGGAAGAAGAAGAAGAAGAAGAGGAGAUUGGAAUUUGAAUUGAGAGAGUACUAUUCCAUUCAUACCCUUACAAUCGAAUGCCUCAGCUACUUAUAGCUACUGCUAAGGCUAAAAUUGUAAUUACAUUCAUAU